AGAAUCAACGCUGGCGGCGUGCCUAACACAUGCAAGUCGCACGAGAAAGGGGACUUCGGUCCCUGAGUACAGUGGCGCACGGGUGAGUAACACGUGAAUAAUCUACCUCCGAGUGGGGAAUAACUGAGAGAAAUCUUAGCUAAUACCGCAUAACACUUACGAGUCAAAGCAGCAAUGCGCUUGGAGAGGAGUUCGCGGCAGAUUAGUUAGUUGGCGGGGUAAUGGCCCACCAAGACGAUGAUCUGUAUCCGGCCUGAGAGGGCGCACGGACACACUGGAACUGAAACACGGUCCAGACUCCUACGGGAGGCAGCAGUGGGGAAUUUUCCGCAAUGGGCGAAAGCCUGACGGAGCGACGCCGCGUGCACGAGGAAGGUCUUCGGAUCGUAAAGUGCUGUCGAGGGGACGAUUAUGACGGUACCCCUGGAGGAAGCCCGGCUAACUACGUGCCAGCAGCCGC
rnacentral:rRNA from 1 species